rnacentral:rRNA from 1 species
CGAUUCCUACGGGGGGCAGCAGUGGGGAAUAUUGCACAAUGGGGGAAACCCUGAUGCAGCAAUGCCGCGUGGGUGAAGAAGUACUCCGGUAUGUAAAGCCCUAUCAGCAGGGAAGAAAAUGACGGUACCUGACUAAGAAGCCCCGGCUAACUACGUGCCAGCAGCCGCGGUAAUACGUAGGGGGCGAGCGUUAUCCGGAUUUACUGGGUGUAAAGGGAGCGUAGACGGCUGUGCAAGUCUGAAGUGAAAUGCCGGGGCUCAACCCCGGAACUGCUUUGGAGACUGUACAGCUAGAGUGCAGGAGG